rnacentral:rRNA from 1 species
UACGUAGGGGGCAAGCGUUGUCCGGAAUCAUUGGGCGUAAAGAGCGCGUAGGCGGCCCAGUAAGUCCGCUCUGAAAGUCAGGGGCUCAACCCCUGAAUGCGGGUGGAUACUGCUGGGCUAGAGUCCGGAAGAGGCGAGUGGAAUUCCUGGUGUAGCGGUGAAAUGCGCCAGAUAUCAGGAGGAACACCGAUGGCGAAGGCAGCUCGCUGGGACGGUACUGACGCUGAGGCGCGAAGCGUGGGGAGCAAACAGGAUAGAUACCCGGGU